rnacentral:rRNA from 1 species
CACGUAGGCGGCUUUGUAAGUCAGAGGUGAAAGCCCAGUGCUCAACACUGGAACUGCCUUUGAAACUGGAAAACUUGAAUCUUGGAGAGGUCAGUGGAAUUCCGAGUGUAGAGGUGAAAUUCGUAGAUAUUCGGAAGAACACCAGUGGCGAAGGCGACUGACUGGACAAGUAUUGACGCUGAGGUGCGAAAGCGUGGGGAGCAAACA